GUUUGAUCCUGGCUCAGGACGAACGCUGGCGGCGUGCUUAACACAUGCAAGUCGAACGGGAGUUGUAUGAAAUUUAUUUUAUAUAAUUCUAGUGGCGAACGGGUGAGUAACGCGUAGGCAACCUACCUCAGGCAGGGGGAUAACACAUGGAAACGUGUGCCAAUACCGCAUAAAACUAAGUUACGGCAUCGUAGCAUAGUCAAAGGAGAAAUCCGGCAAGAGAUGGGCCUGCGUCCAAUUAGCUAGUUGGUGGGGUAAAGGCUCACCAAGGCGACGAUUGGUAGCCGAACUGAGAGGUUGAUCGGCCACAUUGGGACUGAGACAUGGCCCAAACUCCUACGGGAGGCAGCAGUGGGGAAUAUUGCGCAAUGGGGGAAACCCUGACGCAGCAACGCCGCGUGAAGGAAGAAGGCUUUCGGGUUGUAGACUUCUUUGAAUGGGGACGAAGAAAGUGACGGUACCCAUAAAACAAGCCACGGCUAACUACGUGCCAGCAGCCGCGGUAAUACGUAGGUGGCAAGCGUUGUCCGGAAUUACUGGGUGUAAAGGGCGUGUAGGCGGGGAAGCAAGUCAGAUGUGAAAUUCCAAGGCUUAACCAUGGGGCUGCAUCUGAAACUGUUUUUCUUGAGUGCUGGAGAGGAAGGUGGAAUUCCUAGUGUAGCGGUGAAAUGCGUAGAGAUUAGGAGGAACACCAGUGGCGAAGGCGGCUUUCUGGACAGUAACUGACGCUGAGGCGCGAAAGCGUGGGGAGCAAACAGGAUUAGAUACCCUGGUAGUCCACGCUGUAAACGAUGGAUACUAGGUGUAGGAGGUAUCGACCCCUUCUGUGCCGGAGUUAACACAAUAAGUAUCCCACCUGGGGAGUACGGCCGCAAGGUU
rnacentral:rRNA from 1 species